rnacentral:rRNA from 1 species
UACGUAGGGGGCGAGCGUUGUCCGGAAUCAUUGGGCGUAAAGAGCGUGUAGGCGGUUCGGUAAGUCCGCCGUGAAAAUCCGAGGCUCAACCUCGGGCCUGCAUUCGAUACUGCUCGGCUAGAGGCAGGUAGGGGAGAUCGGAAUUCCCGGUGUAGCGGUGAAAUGCGCAGAUAUCGGGAGGAACACCGGUGGCGAAGGCGGAUCUCUGGGCCUGUCCUGACGCUCAGGCGCGAAAGCUGGGGGAGCGAACAGGAUUAGAAACCCGAGUAGU